UUUCUUUUUCUAUUUCUUCUUUUCCUCUCCCGUGCCCAUUUCCUUUCCCCGACGUCGUUCCUCCCCACUUCGACGGUUUCUUCUUCCCAACGCCUGCGCCGACGCCGCCCUCGCGGUUGUUCCUCUCCUCUCCGAUACAAAGGCAGUGGCCGUGGGGAAGCCUUGUGUUUUUCCCUUCUUCCGAUCUCUGCCCUAGAGCCUCUGCCCCGAUUCCUUUCCUCUAGCCGACGCGACACCGACCCCCGAUCCGUCGGCAUCCGAGCCCUAACGCCGGCCUCUCCUUCUCCUCCUUCCCGAGCCACACCAGUCGCCGCUACCACUUGAGGUCACACGGAACAGCGUCGGCGCCCUACCACCGACGCCUCGCCGAAUGGGUGGUAUUUUGUGGGUACAGUAUUCCACAUCCUUCUGACAACAAGAUUAAGAGUUCAAACUACAGGUGAUCAAGUCAAAGAUGUGCUAAAGGAUGCAUUGGAGAAUUUGACACAGAUGUGCCAACAUGUUCGCUCCACAUUGGGGAAGACAAUAGAUGAUUUUAAAGUAAAAAAUCAAUGAUCAUGAAGAUUGAUGAUAAAUAUAUUUUUCUCUUUAUUUCCUCCUCUUCCUAGUUGUAGUGUUAAAUUAAUGAUUUAAAACAUGGAAUGCAUGUUGGAAUUCAAAUCAAUUUUAUUUUUGCCUUUGCAUAAA